GACGUAGGUGGCAAGCGUUGUCCGGAUUUACUGGGCGUAAAGAGCGCGCAGGCGGUCUUGUAAGUCGAAUGUGAAAGCCCCUGGCUCAACCGGGGAGGGUCAUUCGAUACUGCUCGACUCGAAGGCAGGAGAGGGAAGCGGAAUUCCCGGUGUAGUGGUGAAAUGCGUAGAUAUCGGGAGGAACACCGAUGGCGAAGGCAGAUCUCUGGGCCGUAACUGACGCUGAGGAGCGAAAGCAUGGGGAGCGAACAGG
rnacentral:rRNA from 1 species